UUACGGUCAAAUCACGCUGAAACACCGGUUCUCGUACGAUCACCGAAGUUAAGCAUCGUAGAGCCAGGUCAGUACUUAGAUAGGGGACCGCUUGGGAACACCUGGUACUGUAAUC
rnacentral:rRNA from 1 species